UUUCUCCGCCGGCGACCGGCGCACGGGUGAGUAACACGUAUGCGAACCUGCCCCUGUACAGGGGGACAACCCGCCGAAAGGCGGGCUAAACCCGCGUACAUGCCACCGGGGCAGUCCCGGAAGGCAGGAAAGGCUUCGGCCGGACAGGGAUGGGCAUGCGGCGCAUUAGGCAGUAGGCGGGGUAACGGCCCACCUAACCGACGAUGCGUAGGGGUUCUGAGAGGAAGGUCCCCCACACUGGUACUGAGACACGGACCAGACUCCUACGGAAGGCAGCAG
rnacentral:rRNA from 1 species